CCCCCGUUAAAAGAUACAAUUGUAAAUUUUAGUUUUAAAUUUCUAAAGUGAUGGAGUACAUGUGAAAUGGUUUCGAUAAUUACAUUAACAUCCAUUUUUUUUUGGGGUUAUUGCUGUGUAUUACAUAAAAAAAUAGAGGGUUGCUUCUCAAGACAUAAAUUGCUGAGAUCAAUCCUUUACGAAAAAAGAGCUGAGAACACAAGCUACAGCUUCAAUAGAAGAUUGCUGCAUAUUAUGCUCCUGCUUACUAAACAGAGGAAAAAUAGUAAGUUGAAGACCAAUCUCAUUGUCAUUUGAGUGUGUAGAUGGACCUGAAUAGAGAACAAAGAGCCGAUCUCAACUUGGUGAAUUGUUGAUAAUCCUUUUUUCAAUAUAUGGAGUCAACUUGCUCUGUAUUGCCACAAGGAACAAAGACAAUGUAAGAGAUAAAAUAUAAAAGCGCACAAGAACCAACUAUAGGCGCAGCACAAGAAAAGAAUGAUUAAGGACCCGAAAAAACUAAAAGUGAUUAGAAAUGGGAGAAAUUCAACCCUAUGAUACUCUUCUAAAAUGCGGCAGUUGUACCAUCUCUGCUCUACAUGAAUCUGCAAAUGAUAAAAUCAACAUAACAAAUCGAGUUAGACAAAGAAAGCACGAAACAUCUUGACAAGGAACAAAAAGUUAAAAUUUCGUUAGUACAAUUCCAUCUGACACAAAUUCUAUAUCCUUUAUUUUUAUUUUGAUGACAAGGGAACCCGCAACUGCUUCCCUUUACAAUAGCUCAUAAACCACAUAGGAGAGGUAAACAACACUAAACAAGAGCUCGACCCCCAAGGGGUUUCGAAAAUGUUUGUUGAAUCAUCAAGUUUAUGGUAACCACACAGUUAUAUCCACGAUACCAGAUAAGUGAUUCUAUAACCUUUAUAUAAUUAAUACACACACACAAGACAUGUGAAUGUUAUUCUCCUUAAUAACACAGAACAUGGAGACCUUACUCUCUAAUAUUUCCAAUUUAGACAUGUUGAAAUGGUUUAUCAAUUUUGACCAAAUUUUACAGCAUUAAGUGUAGAUGGGAUAGUGACAGCUAGCAUUUUCACAAACCGUAAAAGGAUUCAAGUUGGAACGAAGUGACAUCUUCAGUGAUAUUGUGAACUGAUCUAUUGAUUGUUUAAAUGUAGCUCUAUAAGUUAACAGAACAUGGACACUGCCUCAUCAGCUAGAGUAUUGUGAGUAAGAGACUGCAUGACAUGUCUCAUAAUGGGACUCCUAGCAGCGUGCAACAAAAGCCCACAGAAAAAAGAAAGAAAUUUCACGAUGUGGAACACAAGCAACUCUGAAAUUUAAAGCAUCUGGACACUCUUUGCGUACCUGAUUAGAAUACCAGCUUGCAGAUAUUAACAUCAACAGCAUAUUAACAGUUGCCUGUAUGAAUAAAGUUUUGAAAAUAAUAAAAAAAGAGAGGGUGUAUUAUCAGCUAUUAAUAGUGAAAACAGUCAUGAUAACAAACCCUUCGGGGUAGCUCAGUGGUUUGGGCUUGUGACUUCCAUAUUGGAGGUCUCAAGUUC
rnacentral:lncRNA from 1 species